rnacentral:rRNA from 1 species
GCAUGCCUACAACAUAAUGUUAAUGCAUCGGAUCCCAUUAGAAUUUUGCAGUUAAACGCGCUCGGGCUAGAGUAGUAUUGGGAUGGGUGACCGCCUAAGAAGUCCUAGUAUUUUACAUGCC